rnacentral:misc_RNA from 1 species
CAAAUUAUUAUUAUAGCCAGAAGUAAAAAAUAAAACUGCAGUGAUUACGCAACGCCUUCCACGCGCUUAGUGGUCUGAUGAACUACAUAAUUAGGGGACAAAAAUGAGGAUCACAUCAGAGAAAUUAUUAGAUAUGUAUGUACAUAUACAUAUAUACAUACAUAAAUAUGUAUGUAGGACGAAGAAAAUCUUGGAUCUGGGACUGACAAUGAGAAUAAAGGGAGAGCCUAUACAAAUGGAAGCUAUUAAGAAGAAAUAUAAAAAUUAAAGCUAUGACCAGAAACAGUUCCAUGGAUGAGUCAGAGAUUCCACGACAACUGGGAAUAGCCCUUAUCUUCAAAUUUUAUAUCUGCAUAUUAAAAUUUGUACUAUACAUACGUACUCCUAGGGUCAGCCCCAUGUCACUCUUUCUCGACCUCAUCCUACGCGAAGUAUGAACUUUUAAGUUUUAAGAGCUUAAGGGUUGCAAUUCUAAGUAAUAUCCCAGAAUUUUAGGAUGGUUUCCCGAUUGGGGACAAAUAUGGCAUGUUUGCUUGGAAAACGCUUUCAUUGUGUUGCCCAAAAUGGUGGCAAAGGGUGUGCCUGUUCUCGUGCUUAUGUUCCGCCGGAAGGUGAAGUGUCACAUUUAUACACGCUUAUGCUGCGAUUAUUUUGCAACUGCACAAAUAUUUAUACAAAAACCCCCGAAAUAUUACCACUUAACUCCCUUGGAUCCCUUUAAAAACAUGUGACUCCCAAAAGAUUAAUGAAAAUCUGGGAAAGCCGCUCCUAUCGGUUCUCCUUGGCGGUACGAACAAGGGCAGCACGAAUCGUUUCUCCACUGCAUAGAACCAACAAAGGACUCUGACUCUGCCAAAAAAGGAAUUGUGCAGAAGUGGCAGGGUUCGAGGGGUGGUUACACAUGAGAGCUUCGGGCGAAGAGGAACAGAAUAUCAAAAUCAAGGGGAACUACAGAAGAUGUUUAGGGGGUGAGAUUUGAUCAACGAUCUAUUGUCAAUGUCUGGCCCCGCCUUAGAGCUUUAAAAUUGGUGAGCCGCUACCACAGUCGCCGUCGCCGUCGUAGUCAGGCGUCGACUGCAGGACUAUUAUGCACUCAUUUGAAGGUUUUUUAUUUGGAAAAUGGUGUAGGAACACGACAGGCACGCGUAUUACUGGGACAUAGACAGAAAGGCUAUAAGACAGGGAGUAAGAGCGAGAAGGAAGUAUAAGGGUGAGUAAAGCACGCGCAAAGCAAUUUACGCUCAUUAUACUUUUUUCAUUUUACGAAAUGCAAAGAGCGGACGCACACACACACUUACUUAAAUAUCCAUGACCGCACACAUGUUUAAGACGCAGCGCACAAUCGUUCGCUCGCUCGCUCAUACUUCCGACCCCCCAAUAACAAAACCCAACAACAAUUGUGUCCCAACGAGUGUAUGGCAAUUAAUUUAAGCGAAAAUAAGAGGAAUGGGAAGAGACCUGGAGCGCAUGCUCGGGCCGGGUCUGCUUUUUAUACAGUUAAACACCAGGGUGAAAGAAGCAAGCAAAGAGGAGACACGACUAAUAAAUACAAAUAAAGGAAAAAACCAAAAAAAACUUCAAGUGGAGCCAAAAGGAAAAAUCCACAAACACACACACGAUUGUCUCUUAGCAAUGCUGAGAGCGAGAGAGCAUUAAUGCAAAUACAAGCAGAGUGUGUGCGGUUGUUGGGUGGGGGAGGGUUGGGGUGAGUGGGGGGACGGCAGCAGAACCUAGCAAGCGUAAAAAUAAUAUGGCGGCGGCUGAGAAUCGGAAAAAGCGCAGGGGUCUCAUCAACAUCAGAAAACGCGUCACUAGCAGCGCUGGCCGAACAGCAACAAAGGCAAAAGCAAAAGCAAAAGCAAAAACAGCGACAUCGGCAAUCAUCGACGGAAAACGAUGAACGCCUGUGUAGCAAUGCGGCGCUGGUUGGCAGAGGGGGAACGACAAGAGCCCACAGAAAAGCACACAUACAAACGCACAUGGCACACAAAGAGGUUACAAAAUGAAAAAUGGAAUGCCAGAGACAGGCACAGUGGGACACGACUUGUUGGCACGGAGUAAAACAGAUGACUGUAUUCAGAUUCAGAUCGGGUGAUUUAAAAUAUUAAAAAAUAUAUACAUGGUGGGCCCGAUAUCUUGCCCCCUAGUUGUACAUAUAAUAAUUAUUAACUGCAUACAUGUUAUUUGAUAUACCAAAUAUUUAACGAUUAUUAGAAAUAUAUUUGGUGACCGAUUUUUUCUGUAAUUGCCUCACCGUGCACACGUCGACGGCCUCUGCGGCGUGUGAUGUUCACAGCAGAACAAAAAAAUGUAAUCCAAUAAUAGUCGAACGCACGCCACUGUGCGUUCGAGGGAGCAAGCAAAAAACAUUUCACUUUGGGCUUUGCUGCGCAUACGCUACCUCGCCCCGUCUCUCCGGCUGUGAUCGACAAGCAGAGCUAAUAAUAAAAUAAAGCUAAAGCCGAAUGGAACGACCGAAGGUGUGGAAUGGGAAUGUGAAGCGGAGGGUCGCGGCAGAGCAGGGGAAGCCAGGUAGGCCGUUGGGCCACAGUCCCGAUGGUGGUGGUGGUGGUGACAAAUGCGAAAUGAAAAAAGAAGAUGAAGUAUAGCAGGCAAGCCAGCAAACAAGCAACAAUCGGAGGCAGUCGACAGGGUAGACAUUCGAGUGUACAGACACAGAAAACUGGAUUCGGUUGUAGAAGAUGAUGAGAAUUCGUCGGGGUGGUUGAGAGCGCGCACACAUAUAUAACCAGCACACAUGUACGCCAGCUGUAGCCUCGUUUUCCUGCGACAGUGUGUAUCUGUGUGGUGACGUUCGUCGUUUGUUUCUUUCCAACCCCAAACCAUGCGAUAGCGAGCACAGGCCAUCGCAGUCACACUUGGGGCUCGAUUGCGUUGCUUGUACUGCCAUUCCACUCGCACCCGCGAUUUUCAGUAUAGAGAAAAGUUAUCGCUGUGUUGCAUGGGUGUGAGAGAAAACUGGUUUCGCAUGCCCCAGCUGCCCGCGUCGCGCCGCCGGCCCCGCAUUCAACCACACCAACACCAACACAUGCGCACUUCAUUUUGUUUCGCAGCGCUGCCGCUGCCACUGCCGCUGCCGCUGCUGCUGCUGCUGCUACCGUGUGUUCCCGCUAUCGUCUGCGCGCGUCUCAGUCCUAAAAUCCACUUGGCAGAGUUCGGUAUUCGGUAUUCGGUCUGUGCCUCGACUCCGCGCGCAAUCACGGGAAUACGAGUACGCUGUUGCUGUAUGCCGUUCCAUUUAUAAUAACGAUACUUUUUUAAAUUUUUUAUAAUGCAACGCAGAACUAGUGUGUGGCUAAGAAGAAGUGAAUGCUAAGGCAACAAAACAAAAGAAAACCCAUGAUGUCGCGAAACAAAUGUGUGUGCAGGCGACGCGUCGCUGCCGACGUAUACAAACCUAGAGCUGUCGCGUUUUAUGUAAGAUCGCGUGCACAGGUGCCCCCAACACAGCGCACACAACAAAUUUAAUACAUUGAAAAAAGAGCAGCAUUCACCGAGACGAAAACGUCGCCGCCGACAUUGCAGUGCAGUGAGAAGCGGACACAGAAAGCGAAACAACAACACCAGCAGCAGCCCCAGGAUCCUCUUCAGUACCAGCUCCAGCAGGAGGCGGCACACUACCU